CGGGGAAUAUUGCGCAAUGGGGGAAACCCUGACGCAGCGACGUCGCGUGAGCGAUGAAGGCCUUAGGGUUGUAAAGCUCUGUUUUAAGGGACGAAUGUUACGGGGAGUAAUAUGCCCUGUAAAUGACGGUACCUUAAGAGGAAGCCCCGGUUAACUACGUGCCAGCAGCCGCGGUCAGACGAAGGGGGCGAGCGUUGUCCGGAAUUUCUGGGCGUAAAGAGCACGUAGGCGGGAAUUUAAGUCAGGUGUGAAAGACCGGGGCUCAACCUCGGAGUGGAACUUGAAACUGGAGUUCUUGAGGGCAGGAUAGGAAAGUAGAAUUCCUGGUGUAGCGGUGAAAUGCGUAGAGAUCAGGAGGAAUACCAGUGGCGAAGGCGACUUUCUGGACUGACCCUGACGCUGAGGUGCGAAAGCGUGGGUAGCAAACAG
rnacentral:rRNA from 1 species